AUUGAACGCUGGCGGCAGGCCUAACACAUGCAAGUCGAACGGUAACAGGAAGAAGCUUGCUUCUUUGCUGACGGGUGGCGGACGAGUGAGUAAUGUCUGGGAAACUGCCUGAUGGAGGGUGAUAACUACUGGACACGGUAGCUAAUACCGCAUAGUGUCGCAAGACCAAGGAGGGGGACCUUCGGGCCUCUUGCCAUCGCAUGUGCCCAGAUGGGAUUAGCUAGGAGGUGGGGUAACGGCUCACCUAGGCGACGAUCCCUAGCGGGUCUGAGAGGAUGACCAGCCACACUGGAACGGAGACAGGGUCAAGACGCCUACGGGAGGCAGCAGUGGGGAAUAUUGGACAAUGGGCGCAAGCCUGAUGCAGCUAGGCCGAGUGUGUGAAGAAGGCCUUCGGGUUGUAAAGUACUUUCAGCGGGGAGGAAGGGAGUAAAGUUAAUACCUUGGCUCAUUGACGUUACCCGCAGAAGAAGCACCGGCUAACUCCGUG
rnacentral:rRNA from 1 species